rnacentral:misc_RNA from 1 species
UGAUUUUUGCUCCUUCGUGGUUGACAAUUUUGUCUUGAGUUCUCAGUAUCUACUUAGUUGCAACACUUACAGGAUGGAGAGGGUUGAUACUUACCUUGGCUUGAAGCAGAUUCAUCUACUUUGGAAAAUAUUGUGUUUAGCUCCAUGGACCAAGUUUAACAAGUAUUAUCAUGUUUGGGCGCUGGAGAUCGGGAACCCCAUACUGAAUUAAAUCUCGCAACCAUUGUUGAACGCCACAACAUCAUUUUGAAGAUUUAUAAAAUUUUAGAUGAAACACUUUCAAGAACGUUCUUUGUGGAACUUCUGGUUGCUAGUAUCCAGCUCUGUGUUCUAACGGUCUCAAUAAUCUCUAGGGAUAUGGAACUCUCGGAAUUAAUGUUCGCUGCUGGAUACACAUGCACACUUACACUUCAACUUUUACCAAUCUGCUUUUUUGCUGAUCAAUUCCAAUCGUUUAGUGAACAGCUUGCAGAUGCAGCAUAUGCAACUAAUUGGCCUGAUCAGGAUCGGUCAUUUCGAUUUGCAAUACUUUUCAUCAUACAUAGGUCACAAAAAUGUAGAUUUAUUUUCGUCGGUGGCUUAGUGCCGAUUAACUUACCGACUUUCCUCGGGAUUGUGCGAUGCGCUUAUACGUUCUCAGCAAUUUAUAGUAUGGUCUAUUAGCCAAAACAUCAAGAAGUCAACAUUGAUAUUACCCUGGACUACAGUAGUGGGUUAAUUAGAUCCAACGGAAUAUUGAAAAGUUUUCAGAUAUUUCUUAUUAUUACUUCACUAAGAAAUUGGCGUUGCUGCUUUACAUUUGCACCAGUCAAUUGUUAGAAUCCCUUACGUAUUUGCAAUUAAAGUUUGCAAAACGAAGACUUUUAAGCAAUUUAUUCAAUAUGUACUUUAAAUGAGAAAUUAAAAUAAAGUCGCAGCAAACCACGAAAU